rnacentral:lncRNA from 1 species
GGCUGGAUUUCCAACAAGAUGAACUUUUUAAAGAAACCUCAUUAUUAGUACAUGAUAAGCUUAAAAUUACAUGCCACCCUUAAUUAAAGUUGGAAGGAAAAGCAGCUUUUUGUUUUUUUCCAAAAUUCUGUAGGAUGAACUUAUAACUUAUUCUUUUCCCAUCCAAUUUUUCAGAUGCAUCUGAGGAAGAGGAGAUGGUAAUAUAAAUAACAAAAAAAGACAUAGUUAAAAUAGUAGGUAUCUCCAUUAGGAAAAAUAGCAUUUUACAGGAAUCACAGGACAGUAAGCAAAAUUUCAUCAUCCUUAAAGUGACCCAUGUACUAAGAAAAAUGGAUAAGAAAAAAUUUCCCUGUUUCCAUGACACACGAGGAAAGGAGUAAGUGUAUUUGAUGUCUGUUGCAGAAUACAGGAGAACUUUUCCUUUAGAAACAGUGACAUCUUUGACACCCAGAAUUGAUAACUGAGAGUGAGUCUUUCCCAUCCAUGCCACUGGCUCCCUCUGUUCUUUCAGGGCAGUCAUCGUGGCUCUUCAUUUCUCAAAUUUAAAUGAAAACACAACUGAUGGUGACCUAUUCUAGGCAUGCUACUAUUAAGUGUUUUCUGUUAAACAAAAUUGGAUGGCCUAUGUAACAAUUAAAAACUGCUCAUAAAAUACUAUCAACUAGUUUUCAAAACCUGAAAUAAGCAGACAUGGUCGGGAAAAAGAACAACAUUUAAACCAAAGUGGUGAGACAAUAAAAUUCCAUUUUAAGUCAGCUUUUCAUCAUUUUUUAGAGAUGUUCAAUGUAAUUUCCUUUGGGGAUCAAUUAAAUUGAUACUACCAUAUUCUCGUGGAGACAAUUGUUUCUAGGAUCUUAGGUGAGAACACCCACCAUUAACUCCUACAACCUACUUUACAAUCUAAUAGCUGCCUUCAGAUCUACUCAGUAAGUCCCAUCAAAGAAGGUAAUACUCAGAAUGGGGCUGAUUUAAAAGUCUGGCUCGCUGGAGACGUAGAUACUCUGAUACUCUGACCCUCCUAGUUUUUAAGAGGCUGUUCCAAAGGAUUUUAUUAACUACAAAGUCAGUGAAGAAUAAAUGGAUAAUUUGUAGGGAAAGGUAGGGAAAAU